rnacentral:rRNA from 1 species
GAUGAACGCUAGCGACAGGCUUAACACAUGCAAGUCGAGGGGCAGCAUAGAAGUAGCAAUACUUUGGUGGCGACCGGCGCACGGGUGAGUAACGCGUAUGCAACCUACCUAUCAGAGGGGAAUAACCCGGCGAAAGUCGGACUAAUACCGCAUAAAACAGGGGCACCGCAUGGUGAUAUUUGUUAAAGAAAUUCGCUGAUAGAUGGGCAUGCGUUCCAUUAGGUAGUUGGUGAGGUAACGGCUCACCAAGCCGACGAUGGAUAGGGGAACUGAGAGAUUGGUCCCCCACACUGGUACUGAGACACGGACCAGACUCCUACGGGAGGCAGCAGUGAGGAAUAUUGGUCAAUGGGCGGGAGCCUGAACCAGCCAAGUCGCGUGAAGGAAGAAGGAUCUAUGGUUCGUAAACUUCUUUUGCAGGGGAAUAAAGUGCAGGACGUGUCCUGUUUUGUAUGUACCCUGGGAAUAAGGAUCGGCUAACUCCGUGCCAGCAGCCGCCGUAAUAC